GCAUGGUCAUGAUCAUGGUCAUGAUCAUGGACACGAUCAUGGACAUGGCC
rnacentral:pre_miRNA from 1 species